GACGAACGCUGGCGGCGUGCUUAACACAUGCAAGUCGAACGGAAAGGCCCUGCUUUUGUGGGGUGCUCGAGUGGCGAACGGGUGAGUAACACGUGAGUAACCUGCCCUUGACUUUGGGAUAACUUCAGGAAACUGGGGCUAAUACCGGAUAGGAGCUCCUGCUGCAUGGUGGGGGUUGGAAAGUUUCGGCGGUUGGGGAUGGACUCGCGGCUUAUCAGCUUGUUGGUGGGGUAGUGGCUUACCAAGGCUUUGACGGGUAGCCGGCCUGAGAGGGUGACCGGCCACAUUGGGACUGAGAUACGGCCCAGACUCCUACGGGAGGCAGCAGUGGGGAAUAUUGCACAAUGGGCGGAAGCCUGAUGCAGCAACGCCGCGUGCGGGAUGACGGCCUUCGGGUUGGAAACCGCUUUCGCCUGUGACGAAGCGUGAGUGACGGUAAUGGGUAAAGAAGCGCCGGCUAACUACGUGC
rnacentral:rRNA from 1 species